rnacentral:rRNA from 1 species
GACGUAGGGCGCGAGCGUUGUCCGGAUUUAUUGGGCGUAAAGAGCUCGUAGGCGGCUUGUCGCGUCGUCCGUGAAAACCUGCAGCUCAACUGCAGGCUUGCGGUCGAUACGGGCAGGCUCGAGUUCGGUAGGGGAGACUGGAAUUCCUGGUGUAGCGGUGAAAUGCGCAGAUAUCAGGAGGAACACCGGUGGCGAAGGCGGGUAGCUGGGCCGACACUGACGCUGAGGCGCGAAAGCCAGGGGAGCGAACGGG